GCAGUCGACGGGCUUGAGGGGCUUGCUCCUCAAGUUAGUGGCGAACGGGUGAGUAAUGCAUCGGAACGUACCCAGUCGUGGGGGAUAACGUAUCGAAAGUUACGCUAAUACCGCAUACGUCCUACGGGAGAAAGCAGGGGAUCGCAAGACCUUGCGCGAUUGGAGCGGCCGAUGUCUGAUUAGCUAGUUGGUAGGGUAAAGGCCUACCAAGGCGACGAUCAGUAGCGGGUCUGAGAGGAUGAUCCGCCACACUGGAACUGAGACACGGUCCAGACUCCUACGGGAGGCAGCAGUGGGGAAUUUUGGACAAUGGGGGCAACCCUGAUCCAGCCAUUCCGCGUGAGUGAAGAAGGCCUUCGGGUUGUAAAGCUCUUUCAGCCGGAACGAAACGGUUCGCUCUAACAUAGCGGACUACUGACGGUACCGGAAGAAGAAGCACCGGCUAACUACGUGCCAGCAGCCGCGGUAAUACGUAGGGUGCGAGCGUUAAUCGGAAUUACUGGGCGUAAAGCGUGCGCAGGCGGCUUUUUAAGCCAGAUGUGAAAUCCCCGGGCUUAACCUGGGAACUGCAUUUGGAACUGGAAGGCUAGAGUGCGGCAGAGGGGGGUAGAAUUCCACGUGUAGCAGUGAAAUGCGUAGAGAUGUGGAGGAA
rnacentral:rRNA from 1 species